AAUCCAUAGGUUAAUGAGGCGAACCGGGGGAACUGAAACAUCUAAGUACCCCGAGGAAAAGAAAUCAACCGAGAUUCCCCCAGUAGCGGCGAGCGAACGGGGAGGAGCCCAGAGCCUGAAUCAGCAUGUGUGUUAGUGGAAGCGUCUGGAAAGGCGCGCGAUACAGGGUGACAGCCCCGUACACAAAAGCGCAUGUGCUGUGAGCUCGAUGAGUAGGGCGGGACACGUGGUAUCCUGUCUGAAUAUGGGGGGACCAUCCUCCAAGGCUAAAUACUCCUGACUGACCGAUAGUGAACCAGUACCGUGAGGGAAAGGCGAAAAGAACCCCGGCGAGGGGAGUGAAAAAGAACCUGAAACCGUGUACGUACAAGCAGUGGGAGCACCCUUUGGGGU
rnacentral:rRNA from 1 species